GUCAUAUGCUUGUCUCAAAGAUUAAGCCAUGCAUGUCUCAGUACAAGCCAAAUUAAGGUGAAACCGCGAAAGGCUCAUUAAAUCAGUUAUGGUUCCUUAGAUCGUACCCACAAUUACUUGGAUAACUGUGGUAAUUCUAGAGCUAAUACAUGCAAACAGAGCUCCGACCGGAGACGGAAGGAGUGCUUUUAUUAGAUCAAAACCAAUCGGUGGCGGGUUCGCUCGUUAUCGUACAACUUGGUGACUCUGAAUAACUUUACGCUGAUCGCACGGUCAUCGCACCGGCGACGCAUCUUUCAAAUGUCUGCCUUAUCAACUGUCGAUGGUAGGUUCUGCGCCUACCAUGGUUGUAACGGGUAACGGGGAAUCAGGGUUCGAUUCCGGAGAGGGAGCCUGAGAAACGGCUACCACAUCCAAGGAAGGCAGCAGGCGCGCAAAUUACCCACUCCCGGCACGGGGAGGUAGUGACGAAAAAUAACGAUACGGGACUCAUCCGAGGCCCCGUAAUCGGAAUGAGUACACUCUAAACCCUUUAACGAGGAUCARUUGGAGGGCAAGUCUGGUGCC
rnacentral:rRNA from 1 species